rnacentral:lncRNA from 1 species
UUAACACAUAUUUGUCCAUAAAAAGUGUCAUUUUUUUAUUUCUUUUUUUCAUUGUAAUUUUUUUAAACAACAUAUUUGGAUAUAAAUACGAUAUAUUUUAGAAUUUUAGCUAUUAAAUAACUCAAAUAUCAAUACAUUAUAAUUGAAGUCAAUAUAACUAUUCAUAAAAAAAUCGCAUAUUUUCUUGUUUUAGUGUUUAACACAUAUAUUUAAUUUUAAAAACGAGGAAUAAAAUAAGUAUAAAUAUAUCUACUUGUGCUGAUUUGGUGUAGUAAACAUAGUCACCUUGAGAAGG